AUUGAACGCUGGCGGCAUGCCUUACACAUGCAAGUCGAACGGCAGCACGGGUGCUUGCACCUGGUGGCGAGUGGCGAACGGGUGAGUAAUACAUCGGAACAUGUCCUGUAGUGGGGGAUAGCCCGGCGAAAGCCGGAUUAAUACCGCAUACGAUCUACGGAUGAAAGCGGGGGACCUUCGGGCCUCGCGCUAUAGGGUUGGCCGAUGGCGGAUUAGCUAGUUGGUGGGGUAAAGGCCUACCAAGGCGACGAACAGUAGCUGGUCUGAGAGGACGACCAGCCACACUGGGACUGAGACACGGCCCAGACUCCUACGGGAGGCAGCAGUGGGGAAUUUUGGACAAUGGGCGAAAGCCUGAUCCAGCAAUGCCGCGUGUGUGAAGAAGGCCUUCGGGUUGUAAAGCACUUUUGUCCGGAAAGAAAUCCUUGGCCCUAAUACGGUCGGGGGAUGACGGUACCGGAAGAAUAAGCACCGGCUAACUACGUG
rnacentral:rRNA from 1 species